UUAAGCGACUAAGCGUACACGGUGGAUGCCCUGGCAGUCAGAGGCGAUGAAGGACGUGCUAAUCUGCGAAAAGCGUCGGUAAGGUGAUAUGAACCGUUAUAGCCGGCGAUGUCCGAAUGGGGAAACCCAGUGCAAUUCGUUGCACUAUCGUUAACUGAAUACAUAGGUUAACGAGGCGAACCGGGGGAACUGAAACAUCUAAGUACCCCGAGGAAAAGAAAUCAACCGAGAUUCCCCCAGUAGCGGCGAGCGAACGGGGAGCAGCCCAGAGUCUGAAUCAGCUUGUGUGUUAGUGGAACGGUCUGGAAAGUCCGACGGUACAGGGUGAUAGUCCCGUACACCAAAAUGCACAGGUUGUGAACUCGAAGAGUAGGGCGGGACACGUGGUAUCCUGUCUGAAUAUGGGGGGACCAUCCUCCAAGGCUAAAUACUCCUGACUGACCGAUAGUGAACCAGUACCGUGAGGGAAAGGCGAAAAGAACCCCGGCGAGGGGAGUGAAAAAGAACCUGAAACCGUGUACGUACAAGCAGUGGGAGCACCUUCGGGUGUGACUGCGUACCUUUUGUAUAAUGGGUCAGCGACUUAUAUUCUGUAGCAAGGUUAACCGUAUAGGGGAGCCGCAGGGAAACCGAGUCUUAACUGGGCGUUAAGUUGCAGGGUAUAGACCCGAAACCCGGUGAUCUAGCCAUGGGCAGGUUGAAGGUUGGGUAACACUAACUGGAGGACCGAACCGACUAAUGUUGAAAAAUUAGCGGAUGACUUGUGGCUGGGGGUGAAAGGCCAAUCAAACCGGGAGAUAGCUGGUUCUCCCCGAAAGCUAUUUAGGUAGCGCCUCGUGAACUCAUCUUCGGGGGUAGAGCACUGUUUCGGCUAGGGGGUCAUCCCGACUUACCAACCCGAUGCAAACUACGAAUACCGAAGAAUGUUAUCACGGGAGACACACGGCGGGUGCUAACGUCCGUCGUGAAGAGGGAAACAACCCAGACCGCCAGCUAAGGUCCCAAAGUCAUGGUUAAGUGGGAAACGAUGUGGGAAGGCACAGACAGCCAGGAUGUUGGCUUAGAAGCAGCCAUCAUUUAAAGAAAGCGUAAUAGCUCACUGGUCGAGUCGGCCUGCGCGGAAGAUGUAACGGGGCUAAACCAUGCACCGAAGCUGCGGCAGCGACACUAUGUGUUGUUGGGUAGGGGAGCGUUCUGUAAGCCUGCGAAGGUGACCUGUGAGGGUUGCUGGAGGUAUCAGAAGUGCGAAUGCUGACAUAAGUAACGAUAAAGCGGGUGAAAAGCCCGCUCGCCGGAAGACCAAGGGUUCCUGUCCAACGUUAAUCGGGGCAGGGUGAGUCGACCCCUAAGGCGAGGCCGAAAGGCGUAGUCGAUGGGAAACAGGUUAAUAUUCCUGUACUUGGUGUUACUGCGAAGGGGGGACGGAGAAGGCUAUGUUAGCCGGGCGACGGUUGUCCCGGUUUAAGCAUGUAGGCUGGUUGUCCAGGCAAAUCCGGAUAAUCAAGGCUGAGGUGUGAUGACGAGGCACUACGGUGCUGAAGUAACAAAUGCCCUGCUUCCAGGAAAAGCCUCUAAGCAUCAGGUAACAUUAAAUCGUACCCCAAACCGACACAGGUGGUCAGGUAGAGAAUACCAAGGCGCUUGAGAGAACUCGGGUGAAGGAACUAGGCAAAAUGGUGCCGUAACUUCGGGAGAAGGCACGCUGGUGUGUAGGUGAAGUCCCUGCGGAUGGAGCUGAGACCAGUCGAAGAUACCAGCUGGCUGCAACUGUUUAUUAAAAACACAGCACUGUGCAAACACGAAAGUGGACGUAUACGGUGUGACGCCUGCCCGGUGCCGGAAGGUUAAUUGAUGGGGUUAUCCGUAAGGAGAAGCUCUUGAUCGAAGCCCCGGUAAACGGCGGCCGUAACUAUAACGGUCCUAAGGUAGCGAAAUUCCUUGUCGGGUAAGUUCCGACCUGCACGAAUGGCGUAAUGAUGGCCAGGCUGUCUCCACCCGAGACUCAGUGAAAUUGAACUCGCUGUGAAGAUGCAGUGUACCCGCGGCAAGACGGAAAGACCCCGUGAACCUUUACUAUAGCUUGACACUGAACAUUGAGCCUUGAUGUGUAGGAUAGGUGGGAGGCUUUGAAGCGUGGACGCCAGUCUGCGUGGAGCCAACCUUGAAAUACCACCCUUUAAUGUUUGAUGUUCUAACGUUGGCCCCUUACCGGGGUUGCGGACAGUGUCUGGUGGGUAGUUUGACUGGGGCGGUCUCCUCCCAAAGCGUAACGGAGGAGCACGAAGGUUAGCUAAUCCUGGUCGGACAUCAGGAGGUUAGUGCAAUGGCAUAAGCUAGCUUGACUGCGAGCGUGACGGCGCGAGCAGGUGCGAAAGCAGGUCAUAGUGAUCCGGUGGUUCUGAAUGGAAGGGCCAUCGCUCAACGGAUAAAAGGUACUCCGGGGAUAACAGGCUGAUACCGCCCAAGAGUUCAUAUCGACGGCGGUGUUUGGCACCUCGAUGUCGGCUCAUCACAUCCUGGGGCUGAAGUAGGUCCCAAGGGUAUGGCUGUUCGCCAUUUAAAGUGGUACGCGAGCUGGGUUUAGAACGUCGUGAGACAGUUCGGUCCCUAUCUGCCGUGGGCGCUGGAGAAUUGAGGGGGGCUGCUCCUAGUACGAGAGGACCGGAGUGGACGCAUCACUGGUGUUCGGGUUGUCAUGCCAAUGGCACUGCCCGGUAGCUAAAUGCGGAAGAGAUAAGUGCUGAAAGCAUCUAAGCACGAAACUUGCCCCGAGAUGAGUUCUCCCUGAGACUUUAAGUCUCCUGAAGGAACGUUGAAGACGACGACGUUGAUAGGCCGGGUGUGUAAGCGCAGCGAUGCGUUGAGCUAACCGGUACUAAUGAACCGUGAGGCUUAACCUU
rnacentral:rRNA from 1 species